CCUACGGGAGGCAGCAGUGGGGAAUAUUGCACAAUGGGGGAAACCCUGAUGCAGCGACGCCGCGUGAGUGAAGAAGUAUUUCGGUAUGUAAAGCUCUAUCAGCAGGGAAGAAAAUGACGGUACCUGAUUAAGAAGCCCCGGCUAACUACGUGCCAGCAGCCGCGGGAAUACGUAGGGGGCAAGCGUUAUCCGGAUUUACUGGGUGGAAAGGUAGCGUAGACGGCAGCACAAGUCUGGAGUGAAAUGCCGGGGGUUAACCCCGGGACUGCUUUGGAAACUGUGCAGCUAGAGUGAAGGAGAGGUAAGUGGAAUUCCUAGUGUAGCGGUGAAAUGCGUAGAUAUUAGGAGGAACACCAGAGGCGAAGGCAGCUUACUGGGCUGAAACUGACGUUGAGGCUCGAAAGCGUGGGGAGCAAACAGGAUUAGAUACCCCAGUAGUC
rnacentral:rRNA from 1 species